rnacentral:rRNA from 1 species
UACGUAGGGGGCUAGCGUUGUCCGGAAUCAUUGGGCGUAAAGCGCGUGUAGGCGGUUCGGUAAGUCCGCUGUGAAAGUCGGGGGCUCAACCCUCGGAUGCCGGUGGAUACUGUCGGGCUUGAGUACGGAAGAGGCGAGUGGAAUUCCUGGUGUAGCGGUGAAAUGCGCAGAUAUCAGGAGGAACACCAAUUGCGAAGGCAGCUCGCUGGGACGUUACUGACGCUGAGACGCGAAAGCGUGGGGAACAAACAGG